UACAUUUUUCUCUGCAAGCGUCCAUUGCCCAUCCAACACUAGAGAACAAACAGCCUUCCCAGAUACCUGGGAGGCCAAUCUGGUGGAACAGCCACCUGUUAGCUCUACGUUACCCAUCUUGUACGCCUGAAGUUUUAGGUGUUAUACAUCUGGUAGAGCGUUGAGUCAUGGAGACGAGUUCAGGAAACCGCACUACGCAGGAUCCACGUUCACGCAUCUGUUCUUUCUUUUUUUUUUAAACAAACCGUAAGAAGAGCUGCUAAUUAUAUUAAUAAGAAGAAAAGCCUGACAUACUGACAUACUCAGUUAAUCAAGGAAAAAACAAGUAAAAACCACCAAACCUGACAUACUGACACAUUUCUAGAGCAUCGCUUUCAUACGGUGAGAGUCAUUUGUUCAAAUCCGUACACCAACCUCGCCGAACACAACGAGACCUGGUCGAUCGGUCGACUCACAGGUCAGAAGAACACCACUCAAAUGUCAAAGAAACACGUUAAGAAUCUCCCAGAGGAUGAAUAUACUACAAUGGGUUCUUUGUAUUGAGCCUUGUUGGCGUUCAUAUAGAGUAUAUGAUUUGGAUCACAAGGCAAUCCUAGAAAUUACGACACUAAUUUAGUCAUGGCUCAAAGACAAUAUGCCUCCGCUCCAGUAUCUAACAUUACAUAAAUCAUCAUGUUGUUAUCAGUUAUAUGAGCCUAUUUGUAGGAUUAUGGUGAAAAGAAGCGGUGUGCAAAGGAAGUAACGAUGAGAGGAGCGAGGGCGUGGCUUGGGGGAGCAGCAGUGGCUUCAACUCAUGUUCUAAUUCUCACCCUGCAUUUUCUUUUGUGUGGGUUUUGUUGAUGCAGCUAAGACAAAGAUUAAGAUAGGAAUAAAUGGUUAUGGAAGUAUUGGAAGGACCAUGGCCAGGGUCGCUUUGGAGAGCCAAGAUGCAGAGCUUGUAGCAAUUAACGACUCCUCCACCACUAUGGAUCAGAUGACUUGUAUGUUUAGGGACUCAAACAUGCAUGACCAAUGGUUGAGAAGUAAUUUCAAGACGAAGAACUCCAAUACACUUAUGUUUGGUGAAAAGGAGGUUACUAUCUUCAGAAUCACGUUCAAUGAUGAGAGAAAGAAAUAAGCAGACAUUUACUUUGGUAAUUAUCAAGAAGAAACCUCCGCAUACCAGAUCAUCAUGCCAACACAAUAUGUGGCUUGAUUGCACUUUACGUGACCAAAUUCAGAGUUGGCACAGCUAUGCAUGUUUCUAUUUGUUCGAACAAAUCGGCAGAAAAGCUACUUAUUGUAUUAA